UACGAAGGGGGCUAGCGUUGUUCGGAAUUACUGGGCGUAAAGCGCACGUAGGCGGCUUGUUAAGUCAGAGGUGAAAUCCCGGAGCUCAACUUCGGAACUGCCUUUGAUACUGGCAAUCUAGAGUCCGGAAGAGGUUAGUGGAAUUCCCAGUGUAGAGGUGAAAUUCGUAGAUAUUGGGAAGAACACCAGUGGCGAAGGCGGCUAACUGGUCCGGUACUGACGCUGAGGUGCGAAAGCGUGGGGAGCAAACAGG
rnacentral:rRNA from 1 species